rnacentral:rRNA from 1 species
UACGAAGGGGGCUAGCGUUGCUCGGAUUGACUGGGCGUAAAGGGCGCGUAGGCGGUUCGUACAGUCAGACGUGAAAUUCCUGGGCUCAACCUGGGGGCUGCGUUUGAUACGUGCGGGCUUGAGUGCGGAAGAGGGUCGUGGAAUUCCCAGUGUAGAGGUGAAAUUCGUAGAUAUUGGGAGGAACACCGGUGGCGAAGGCGGCGACCUGGUCCGAUACUGACGCUGAGGCGCGAAAGCGUGGGGAGCAAACAGG